ensembl:lncRNA
GUCCCAGCCCAGGAUCUCCAGCAUUUCAGGCAGAUUCUUUACCAUCUGAGCCAUCAGAGAAGCAGUGGGCUGAAUGAUAGCCCCCAAAGAUACAGCCUUUGCAGGUCCCAACCCCCAAGACCUGCAAGUCUUGCCUUAUUUGAGAGAGGGUCUUUGCAGACAUUGAAGUUAAGGAUUGGGGGAUAAGGAGAUUGUCCUGGAUUACUCACAUGGGCCCUGAAUCCAAUGAUGUGUCCUUGAACGAGUGAGACAAAGAGAGACACACACAGAACGGAAGGAUUCCACGUUACAUUUAGCUGCACGUCUGCGUAGACUCCUCUUGGCUGUGACAGCUUCUUAGUCUUUCCUUGUUGAUGAUCUUGGCAGUUUUGAGGAGACCUGAUCAGCAUAUUCCUUGACUGGGGAUCCAACUCAUGACCUCUGAAUUAGGAACAUGAAGUCUUAACCAUUGAACCUCCAGGGAAGUCCCAAGAUGAGAGGUUUUAAGCAGAAAAUUCACUAUCAGAUUUUCUUCUUAAAACCCAGUUCUGACAAAGAUGUGAGGGAGAAGACACCCUACUGGUGGACAUGGAGAUCGGAACAGUGUUGUGGAGGGAUGGUGUGACACAUCUACUUGUUCGAUGCACUCGCCCUUUGAUCUAGCAAGUCAGCCCUGCGGAGUGCCCCUCCACAGGUGCAGAGAUGCCUGGCACUAUUGGUAGCCACCAGACAUGAAACAACUGAGCGCCCGUUGACUGGGCAAUGGAAGAGAGAAUGAGAUUCAUCUCACAAAACAGCAGUCAUCAAAAAUAAACAGGUGGGGACUUCCCUGGGGGUCCAGUGGCUAAGACUCCACGCUCCCAAUGCAAGGGGCCUGGGUUCCAUCCCUGGUCAGGGAACUAGAUCGCACAUGCUGUAACUAUGAGAUUCUGCUGCAUGUUGCAACUAAAAACAAAAACAAAAAACAGAUGCCACAAUGAAGACAACAAAGACUGAAGAUCCUGGGUGCUGCAACUAAGACCUGGUGCAGCCAAACAAACGAGUUAGAUCUGCAUGUGUGGAUGUGUGAACUUUUCCAAGAUGAAUUAUAAGUGAAAAAAGGUACUCGCAGGCUCAUAUGCAUGAUAGGAUGCCAUUUGCAUGAGUACAAAGGAUGUACAUUUAUAUAUGCACAUAGAAAUGGAA